UGUUUUUGUGCCGUGUGUGAGUGAGUGUUGUUGAGCGUAUUUUCUGAACCGUGUUGCCAAUGCGAGGAAAAUGUUAACAUAAAUAACGAUUAAAAUGUUAUUCUUCUUCAAUACGUUUUCCCCAUUGAUGGUGUUUUCAUUGCAAACUAGUUGGCAACACUUGUUCAGAGAAAGCGAAACCGCGAAAAGAGAACCAUAGGGUUCAGAACGUCAUUGGCCGUUGUGGUACAAUGUACAACUCUCGAGAGACACAUUCGCGUGUUUAUUUCCCACUAAUUCGUCAUUAGCCAGCCACAUCAAACGACAACAGCGGUAGACGCGAAUAAUCCCCUCCCCCCCCCCACUCGACGAACGCUGAUCUCAACACACUACAUGAAAAAAAUUUCCAGCUCCAAGAGUGAAUAAAACUAAUUCGUAUUAGUUUCUAUUUUAGUAAAAAAAAAGAAUUGCAAUUACAAAUAAAAUCUAAUGAAAAAGCGCGUUCUAUCAACCAAUAAAAAUUCGCUCAUUGCAAAAACAAUGUAACGAACGUUCUUAUCUCUAGGCUAAAUUCAACAACCACAGUGUAAAAAAAUCCAAAGACCCCCUCCCACCUUAAAAUACAAAAAAAAAAAAUAAAGAUUAAAAAAUAGAAAAAAGCGAAACAAAACGAAAAACCUGAUGUUGUUGGUGCUUUUGUGAAAUUGUUGGAUGUGAUACUCAAACAAAACAAAGCAACCUUAGGUCUUAUCCCUCCUUCAAUCCCCUCGGCAAUAAUAUAGCAAAAGACAGAUAUUGACUACGUCUGCGAAUCAGUCAUCUCAACAAAUGUCCUCACAUUUUUAAUGUGUAUUACUUAAAAAGGUAAGAGUUUUUUUCUUAAUUUUUUCAAAUAAUUUUUAAGAAUUUCGCAUAUCUUAUCUAUUUAUGUAUCAACAUAGUAUCUGUAUUUGACUCAUAUCGGGAUUUUUAUGAGAUAACGAAACGUCUGGUAUAAAAAAUCAAGUGUUGAUAAAAAACUAUGAACAUGAUCGAAGCAAAACUCUUGUUAUACCCAACAUAGUUUCAUUUGUAUGACACAACAUGUACAACCCCUUAAGACCUGUAUACCGUGUAAUAGAGACUUUAGCGGUUCCCCCUAUACAACUGCGCUGGCUUUGCUAAUGUUUACCAAAUUAAGACCAACUAUGUGCAAAAUUGUAAUAACAAUGAGGCUUUAAAAGUUU
rnacentral:sRNA from 1 species